rnacentral:rRNA from 1 species
AGCGAACGCUGGCGGCAGGCCUAACACAUGCAAGUCGAACGGAUCCUUCGGGAUUAGUGGCGGACGGGUGAGUAACACGUGGGAACGUGCCCUUUGGUUCGGAACAACUCAGGGAAACUUGAGCUAAUACCGGAUGUGCCCUUCGGGGGAAAGAUUUAUCGCCAUUGGAGCGGCCCGCGUCUGAUUAGCUAGUUGGUGAGGUAACGGCCCACCAAGGCGACGAUCAGUAGCUGGUCUGAGAGGAUGAUCAGCCACACUGGGACUGAGACACGGCCCAGACUCCUACGGGAGGCAGCAGUGGGGAAUCUUGCGCAAUGGGCGAAAGCCUGACGCAGCCAUGCCGCGUGAAUGAUGAAGGUCUUAGGAUUGUAAAAUUCUUUCAGCGGGGACGAUAGUGACGGUACCCGCAGAAGAAGCUCCGGCUAACUUCGUG